GUUCUUUAUUUUUCCAUGGAUCAUAAAUCUGCACUGAAUUGGAGGCUGACUGAGACCCACUGAUGUCCAAAUCAACUCUUCUAGAAAGAAAGAGUACUCCACACCACGAAACGUAUCUCCUAAUAUUUCAUUGUCCUCCAGAAAAAUAGGGGGAGACACUAGCAAUUCUCUCAGCAAGGCCCCUUGAAUUUACCUCUAAUUCAGCUCAUGAGCGGCCACUCCUCCAUCAUCUUUGGAUUUUAUUCUUGGACAUAGAGUGUGAACAGCAAUAAGGUUCCUUAUCAGCCUAGAGUGUCCUAUGUCUGGCUCAAUGACUUCCACACUAAACGUUUCCCAGGUCAUGGUGAAAGACCCUCAUGGGAAUCCCUUGUGGAGGAGUAUUCCAACGUGGAAGAAACACUUGGGGUGCCAACUGGGGCCAUCCUGGAAACUCCUGAUUGGGGAGCUUUCAUACCGUGAGCCAAGUGGGAGUGGAAUGGAUUGAUGCUGGAUGGGAUAUGGCUUCCACACUUGCCUCUUCCUUACUAGACUUCCAUGUUCCUUGUCCUCCUAAGGUUUCCUGGGUCUGGCUCAACGACUUCCACUCUAAACAUUUCCCAGUGCAAAGAGAUUAAAACUCAUGAGAAUCCUUCGUUUGAGUGUUUCCUUCUAAACCCUGUCAGAUUUUAAAGACUGAGAAGCUUUAAUACUUUUAAAAGUAUGAAUUCCCUUUACAGCAGCCAACAAGGAUAUUAUUGUUUUCCCACUUCUAUCAGAGGACUGCACGAUUUCUGUAGGAUGAGAAGUAGGCAGCCAUGUCUCACUUUUGCCUGGUAAUUUAGCCUCUGCUUCAUUUUAGUUGCACAGCCUUUUCAUUGGGGAUGGGUUCUUUAAUUGUGCUGUUGCAGGAUGGGAUUAUCUCUUGCCACAGAUUAUUUAGCUGGCAGGGAUUACAAAGGGCAAAAGGAACUUUGGAUAACCUGGCCGCGAUAUACACUGUGGGUCAUUGUCUCGUUGUGGGGUCUGGGGUUGUUUGCACUUUGCAGGAAGCUUUUGGAUCCUGACAGCAAUCAUUGGACAUAGCUUGGACUCCAUAAUAAGGGAGCUCAUUCUCUCAGGUGAGACUUUGUUUUUCUUUGCUUUCGUGCCCAGUCCAAAGUGUGAGAACACUGCUCCACCUUGGACUUGCCUUUGUCUUUGCUCCUGCCAUUUUCAGAGAGCCUCUGUGAGGCCCAAAAUGAAGGGAGGUAUUGAGGACAAGAGACCAGUCAUCCUUCACUGACACCUCCCUCUGGACUUUCAGGUAUAAUUCUAUCACCCAAAGAACCCUCAGCAACACACCAGACUAUAUUUCAAUCCCCAUGGGACCAGAUUCUGGCACACUGCCUCUUUUGAGAAUAAAGUCAGAAGAGCGGUUUCCAGCAACCACCUCCCUAUGUCAAAAAGCCUUUUCCUCCAGCAGGAGUCGACCAUGGAAAUGGCCCAAUGGGGCCUUAGAUCGGGAUGUUUAGUGUUUUGAGGUGGAUUUUCACAAGGAGCAUUUUUCCCAAUACCAGGGCGGCUGUACCUGUAUUUUUUUUUUUUUUUCUGCUUAGGCUAGCUGAAAGCUCUGGCAACAUGGUGCUUGAGCCUGCUUCAUGAAUGUCCAUGCACUAGUCUCAGGGCAACAGGCCUGAUUGUGAGCUUUGGCUAGCAUCACAAUAAAUGUCACCAUUGCCAACUGACAAGUCCUUGAGGCUUGGCAAAGAAGAACUCCGUGGAGGUCCGUCAGCUUUGGAUUCUCACCUGUCUUCUCUGUGGGAUCCCUGGGAGAGUCCCAUGAUCCUAGGAGAAGGCAGACAUGAGCCAGCCUGAAGAAAGAUCAAGUAUAGACCCAGGAAUAAACUGUGAAAUCACAAUGAUCCAAAAUAAUCUACAGAAUUCCUCAGGUCUGCUAGACAUUGUACGGAAUCCACAGUGCCCCUCAACAGAACUACUGACAGCCAUUUCAGGCUUGCAUUGACAAAGAUGGCCUCGAAGACAUUGACUGGACCGCAUCUGAACCCAUGAGACAUCAUUAUGAGGUGUGAGAACAAUGUUUCACCUUGGACUUGCCUUUGUGAUGGUUUCUGCCUUUCCCAGAGAGUCCCUGUGAGGCUCAGGAUGAAGGCAGGCAGUGAGUUCCAAGGGUCCAGUCAUCUUUUGCUGAAACCCACCU